GAAUGGAGAUUUGAAACAGUGUAAAGACCAUGUUUAUCUAUAAGAAAUUAGCAGUAUUAAGGGAGAGCUUCAUAUAUACUUAAGCUUUGUGUAUCUGCUGCCUGCUAUAUUGGGGUGAGUUUUGUAUCUCAGAAUAGCUUCAGUGGUUUUUGCUCCAUCUUCCUUGGCUCUUUUAUUUUUCCUGUGCAAAGCAGCUUUCUGCUAUUUGUGAUGAGGUCUGGUCCUGCAACUUGCUCAGUGACUCUUCCUGAAGAUAUGAGAGACAACUCUCCAGGCAACCUGUCACGUUUGGUGUGUGGAUAUGCCUGUGUAUGAGGAGUAGGUCUGAGCCAUGCUCUAAAACCUGGACGAAUGAGCUCUUCUGUUGUGUAGUCUAAAGUUUAGAAUUGCUCCUGAUUCACUCCACACAAAGCAGCCAUGGAGACAAUUCAAUACAGCAUUUUGUCUACUAGCAGAGGAGUCCUCCAGCAGAGGCACUUUCCUAACCAUUUGGUGGUUUUUUUUGGGACCAGUCAGCAGCCCUGCACAUCCUAUGGUGGGAGAUCAUUGUCUGACCAACGUUGAAAGCUAAUGUAGGUGGAAUACCUGAGGUAGUCAUCUGCCCCACUUCGCAUGAAAAUGAUGUGCCACAGGAACCUUCUUACAAGCCUGAUGAGGGGCAGCUUCACCCUACUGCGCUAGAUGAUUCUGCCUGCUUGAAGAUAUCAGACAUUUCACCUUCCAACUCUCUGAAGCCACUGACUUUGUCCAGAAUUUCUUGCCCAGAACGAGCUGUUGCUUCUCAGAGAGAGCAUUAAGCAUCCCUCUUUACCUGCUUCUCUGGACAGCUGCAUCUGACUCUAGCAAACACAGUGUGAGCUACAUCUCUUUCUGUGCUCUGAGAGGCAUGUGGUCUGGAGCCCCAGGUAAAAGGUUAUCAUUUAAGAUCUCAUCUUUUAUGUUUCUCUUGCCAUAUUUCUAGCUGUGAACUGGAACACUCUGAUGAGCAUUAAAUGCAGGUCAGAAAAGGUAAUAAGCAAGGGCCAGUCCAGAGGCACUCAGGUGUGUCUCGUUCUGUGGAAUGGCUAUGAGUAAAGUUGGGUCACUAAUUGGUUAUUACUUUUGUUGAUGAGUGCUAAACUGGGCAGAGCUAUAAACACUGAUCUUUUGUUGGUGUUGUUCUUGCUGAAAUGACCGAGGCUCUGUGAUUUAUGGCCAUAAUAUUGCAGUCUUGCCUCAACUUUACACAACUUGUCCUAAUGUUAUUUACUGUUACCUGGAAGGAGAAAGAGGACCUGCAGCUCAAUUUACAUUAAUUGCAUUUCCUUCUUAUGUGCCUAGACCAAACUUUUGCUAGUUGUUUGCAGAAGUUGAGGGGAAGUAAUCAACAGUAGCAUGCCCCAUUGUACACCACAUCUCAAGCAGCUCACAUGACAUUUUCUGAAUUAAAAAUAAUUAGUAGU